rnacentral:rRNA from 1 species
GACGAACGCUGGCGGCGUGCUUAACACAUGCAAGUCGAACGGAAAUGCCCUGCUUUUGUGGGGUGCUCGAGUGGCGAACGGGUUAGUAACACGUGAGUAACCUGCCCUUGACUUUGGUAUACCUUCAGGAAACUGGGGCUACUACCGGAUCUGAUCUCCUGCUGCAUGGUGGGGGUUGGACAUUUUCUGCGGUUGGGGAUGGACUGGCGGCUUAUCAGCUUGUUGGUGGGGUAGUGGCUUACCAAGGCUUUGAAGGGUAGCCGGCCUGGGAUGGGUACCGGCAACAUUGGGACGGAGAUACGGCCCAGACUCAUACGGGAGGGAGGAGUGGGGAAUAGUAUACAAUGGGAGGAAGCAUGAUGCAGCAACGCCGCGUGCGGGAUGACGGCCUGCGGGUUGGAAACCGCUUUCGCCUGUGAAGAAGAGUGAGUGACGGUAAUGGGUAAAGAAGCACCGGCUAACUACGUG